rnacentral:rRNA from 1 species
GAUGAACGCUAGCUACAGGCUUAACACAUGCAAGUCGAGGGACCGGCGCACGGGUGAGUAACACGUAUCCAACCUGCCCUUUACUCGGGGAUAGCCUUUCGAAAGAAAGAUUAAUACCCGAUAUAAAGGAUGGGGAUGCGUUCCAUUAGGUUGUUGGUGAGGUAACGGCCCACCAAGCCUUCGAUGGAUAGGGGUUCUGAGAGGAAGGGCCCCCCAAUUUGAAACGGGACCCCGUCCAAAAUCCCACCGGAGGCAGGAGGUGGGAAUAAUGGUUAAUGGGCGGUAGCCUUAACCCGCCAAGGUGCGUGAAGGAUGAAGGCUUAUUGGUCGUAAACUUCUUUUAUAUAAGAAUAUGUAUUAUAUGAAUAAGGAUCGGCUAACUCCGUGCCAGCAGCCGCGGUAAUAC